GAUGAAGAACGUAGCGAAAUGCGAUAAGUAAUGUGAAUUGCAGAAUUCAGUGAAUCAUCGAAUCUUUGAACGCACAUUGCGCCCUCUGGUAUUCCGGGGGGCAUGCCUGUUCGAGCGUCAUUAUAACCACUCAAGCUCUCGCUUGGUAUUGGGGUUCGCGGUUUCGCGGCCCCUAAAAUCAGUGGCGGUGCCUGUCGGCUCUACGCGUAGUAAUACUUCUCGCGAUUGAGUUCGAUAGGUCUACUUGCCAGUAACCCCCAAUUUUUACAGGUUGACCUCGGAUCAGGUAGGGAUACCCGCUGAACUUAAGCAUAUCAAUAAGCGGAGA
rnacentral:misc_RNA from 1 species